rnacentral:rRNA from 1 species
AUUGAACGCUGGCGGCAUGCCUUACACAUGCGAGUCGAACGGCAGCACGGGUGCUUGCACCUGGUGGCGAGUGGCGAACGGGUGAGUAAUACAUCGGAACGUACCUUAUCGUGGGGGAUAACGCAGCGAAAGCUGUGCUAAUACCGCAUACGCCCUGAGGGGGAAAGCGGGGGAGCGAUAGACCUCGCGCGAUUAGAGCGGCCGAUGCCUGAUUAGCUUGUUGGUGGGGUAAAAGCCCACCAAGGCGACGAUCAGUAGCUGGUCUGAGAGGACGAUCAGCCACACUGGGACUGAGACACGGCCCAGACUCCUACGGGAGGCAGCAGUGGGGAAUUUUGGACAAUGGGGGCAACCCUGAUCCAGCAAUGCCGCGUGAGUGAAGAAGGCCUUCGGGUUGUAAAGCUCUUUUGUCAGGGAAGAAACACCGGCUCUAACACAGUCCGGGAAUGACGGUACCUGAAGAAUAAGCACCGGCUAACUACGUGCCAGCCGCCGCGGUAA